AGUGAACGCUGGCGGUAGGCCUAACACAUGCAAGUCGAACGGCAGCACAGUAAGAGCUUGCUCUUGCGGGUGGCGAGUGGCGGACGGGUGAGGAAUACAUCGGAAUCUACUUUUUCGUGGGGGAUAACGUAGGGAAACUUACGCUAAUACCGCAUACGACCUACGGGUGAAAGCAGGGGAUCUUCGGUCCUUGCGCGAUUGAAUGAGCCGAUGUCGGAUUAGCUAGUUGGCGGGGUAAAGGCCCACCAAGGCGACGAUCCGUAGCUGGUCUGAGAGGAUGAUCAGCCACACUGGAACUGAGACACGGUCCAGACUCCUACGGGAGGCAGCAGUGGGGAAUAUUGGACAAUGGGCGCAAGCCUGAUCCAGCCAUACCGCGUGGGUGAAGAAGGCCUUCGGGUUGUAAAGCCCUUUUGUUGGGAAAGAAAAGCAGCAGGUUAAUACCCCGCUGUUCUGACGGUACCCAAAGAAUAAGCACCGGCUAACUUCGUG
rnacentral:rRNA from 1 species